GUCCCAUUUCAUUUUUAUGUCAUGCAGCCUUCAAAUGCAGCCCUAAAACCGGCCUCGUUUCCAUGGAGAUGGGGCCGCGAACGGAGGACACAUCCGAGUAUCCUUCGCAGCCUUCAGUAUCCCAGCAUGCACCGCGCGGCGGCAGUCAGAUGUUCGAAAACACGGAGCGAAAACACGCAGCAAAAAGCCCGUCCGGAGAGCGGAGAAAAACAUCCUCCCGUAUGAGGACACAGCACACUGCAGGGGCCACAGAACUGUUGGCUGACAAGAUGCUUGUGAUUCAUAAAAUGGGUCAAAUGCAGAUGACAAAGUAAAGCCAACACUGAGCUGGAGGUGCUGACCCAGACUCCUGCCAACGAUUAGGUUUUCACUCUGCAGGACAGAACUUUGAAUCAAUCAGACCUAACACCCAUUCUGCUCUUCCUCCUCCAGAAGACGAGAGACACAUCAGACUGAGUGGUCCAAGUCCACUGUCCAUGUCUCCAAUGUCCAUGUCCAGAGUCUCUGAGGAGGAGGUCCAGAGUCUCAUAUGAUCUGAACAAGUGUGUGUGAGACAGAAAUGAAAACAUCUGCUCAUAAGUUUUUCUGAAUGUUUUUCAGUCUGUACUGACAUUUGAUUUAUGGUGAAAUGUGCCAUUUAUUUGAUGUCUCUUUUGAUAGUAACUAAUUACAUGUACUAUAAGAAUGUACUAUUGUACUGCAGAUAACCGUGGUAUUCCACAUGAUCAUAUUUGGCAAAGAUAUUUUGUUCAUUUUUGAUUGUCACUUGCUUCAGCAAAAAGGAAGCACAAUGAGAUUUACUGACAUACAGCUGUUUGUACUAACCUGUUAAUGCAGAGUGUGUGUAAUGGGUUUAAUAUUUGACUUCAUAUUAUGAUAAAGUAUUUCCAGAAGUUCCUUGGAUUGUUUAAUAAACCAGCUUUUCUCAGGAGA